CCGAGCCUCGAGCUCGCCGGAUCUGGCGGCGGAGCUCGCGGCUCGCCGGAUCUAGCAACAGAGCUUGGGCUCCUUAUCCGGGCGAGCUCGAGCUCUGUCGCCAGAUCCGGUGAGCUCGGGUGAGA
rnacentral:pre_miRNA from 1 species